UUAUUUGUUUACCUAGUUGACACGCAUCACAUACUUUGUCCUUAACAAACUUCAUAUUGGGAAUCCCUCGUACUAAUUCUCUAGAUGAGAUCUUAGAUAUUAGUUUCAUACUUGCAUGGCCUAAUCUCCUAUGCCAAAGCCAAGCAUCAUCAUUUAAAGCGAAGAAGCACAUUUCAUUACUUAGUUCAUUAAGGUUGAUGGUGUAGACAUUAUUUUGUUUUAAAGCAAUCAUUGACAAGUUAUUGUUUGGUUUUCAAUAAUGCACGCAUUAGAUUCAAAUAUAACGAUGUAACCUUUAUCGCAUAAUUGACUAAUACUUAAGAGAUUAUGUUUUAAUCCAUCAACUAGCAAUACAUCAUCAAUUGAAAAACAUGAUUUGUUACCUAUGGUUCCCUUGCCAAUGAUUUUGUCUUUGUUGUUGUUUCCGAAGGUGAGGUACCCUUCUUCUUUGCUAGUGAGCAUAGAGAAAUGAGAUGGAUCUUCGGAUUUUCAAAGAUAGUUUCCAAGGCUUCGGAGUAAGUUGCUCCGAUUACAUUGACAUCCCAUUUAUUUCUAAAGUAACAACCCCUAUCAUUUUCAGUAAUUCCAAUUAGUUUACAAAUAGUACUAUUAAAGAUUUUAAUUUGUGUUCCUAAAAGGUAAGUACUUAGGCUUUCAUUGUUUAUACAUAAGUUUGCAUAAAAUAGCCUAACUAACCUAAGAUAAAUUGGUUCAUUGAUUUGUAGGAGAGGUAAACCAUCUAAUGGGUUCUAGAUUUCCUAGUUAAUCUAGAUCAACAUGUUUACCCUUAUGUAUAGUUAUUGUUUCAAAAUUUGGAAACCUAAGAGCUACUUCUUUGGAUCUAAAUUGAUUUUGGUCAUAUGAAUCUCCUUCAGCCCUUUUCCCUUUUGUUCUUGUUGAUCUCUUAGGAGCCAUAAUCUAGAAAAGAUAAUAGAUCAAGAAUAUAAAACUAUGAAGAGUAGGCAAAAUAAUGAGAAAAGAAAGGAAAUAUUUCAGAUUUUACCUUAUGCAGAAUUCCUCGAAAGAUGGAGAGCUUGAACCAACAAGAAUCCCUCUCCUAGGCUUCUAAAGGUUGUAAUGAGGGUUAGAGAAGUUUUGAAGGAGUUGUGGGAGAUUUAGGGAGAGUUCUCACGGGUUGGGGGCGGUUCCACUGCCGGCCCUAACCCCUUUUCUUAUGAAGGAGAUCUCGGGCGGUGCCACCGUCGAUCCGAGCGGUGCCACCGCCUAGCGACCAAGCGCUUAGGUGGUGCUACCGCCGGUUCUAGCGGUGCCACCACUGGCAUGCCAAGAAAGAGAAAGAAAAAAUUUAUUUCCUCCCCCUUUUUAUUUUUCAGAGGUGUUUGGCUCAAGAUAGGAUAGGAUCUUGGAUUGCACUUUAAUAUGUCAUUUGGAAUCGAAAGAGAAGGAAGAAAUCAAAUCCACGAAAGAAUGGAAAGAGGAUGAAAAACUUUUCGGAAAAUACAUUCAAACAAGCUUAUUCUCAGGGACAAUUUAACAUGUCUAGUUCCCUUCUAAUGAAUUCAAAUUGGUCUUCAUUUAAGGCUUUUGUAAAAAUGUCUGCUAAUUGAUGCUUUGUGUCAAUAAACUCUAGAACAACAUUAUUGUUAAGGACAUGAUCGCAUAUGAAAUGAUGCCUAACGUCAAUAUGCUUAGUUCUAGAGUGUUGAAUUGGAUUUUUGGUAAGACGUAUGACACUUAUAUUAUCACAUUUUAUGGGAAUGUUUUUCAAGUAAAUUCCAUAGUCUUCUAAUGUAUUCUUCAUCCAAACAACUUGUGCAAAGCAAGCACUUGCAGCAAUGUAUUCGGCUUCCGCUAUAGAUAGUGCAACUGAGUUUUAUUUCUUAGAAGUCCAAGAAACAAGUGCAUAUUCUAAAAAUUGGCAUGUUCUGGAUGUACUUUUUCUAUCUAUCCUGUAUCUACCAAAAUCGGCAUCUGCAUAAGCUAUUAAAUCAAAUUUAUCAGAUUUCGGAUAUCACAAUCCUAAAUUGGGAGUUCUUUUAAGAUAUCUAAAUAUUCUUUUAACACUCUUAAGAUGAGAUAAUUUAGGAUUAGAUUGAAACCUAGUGCAAAGUCCUACACUAAACAUGAUAUCCGAUCUAUCGCGGUGAGAUAAAGUAGACUACCUAUCAUUCCCCUAUACGUUUUUUGAUCGAAAUUCUCACCAUUUUUAUCCAUAUCUAACUUCGUCGAAGUACUCAUAAGAGUGUUUAUCACUUUUGAACCAUCCAUGUUAAAUCGUUUUAAUAAUUCUAAUGUAUAUUUUGAUUGAUUAAGAAAUAUACCAUCACUAAGUUAUUUAAUUUGUAAUCCUAAAAAGAAAGUUAAUUCACCAAUUAGACUCAUUUCAAAUUCAUGACUCAUACACUUGGCAAAUGAUUCACAUAGUGAUUCAUCCGAAGAACCAAAAAUAAUAUCAUCAAUAUAAAUUUGCAUAAUAAGAAAAUUAUUUUCAAAGUGUUUGAUAAACAAUGUAAUAUCAACCUUGCCUUUGGUAAAAUUAUUUAAAAUAAGAAAGGAACUAAGCCUUUCAUACUACGCUCUAGGAGCUUGUUUCAAGCCAUAGAGAGCCUUAGUCAAUUUGAAUACAUGAUUAGGAAGAAGAGAAAUUUUAAAUCCGGGAGGUUAUUCGACAUAUACUUCUUCGAAAAUAAAACCAUUCUAGAAGGCACUUUUGACAUCCAUUUGAAAUAGUUUAAAAUUAUUACUACUAGCAUAGGCAAGGAGCAUCCUAAUGGCUUCUAAUCUUGCCACAGGAGCGAAGGUUUCUUCGUAGUCGAUACCUUCUUCUUGGUUGAAACCUUUGGUCACUAAUCUAGCCUUAUUUCUAACCACGAUACCGCAUUCGUCUUGCUUGUUUCUAAAGACACAUUUAGUACCAAUGACUAAAUGAUCACUAAGUUUAGGAACAAGCUUCCAUACCUUAUUUCUCUCAAAUUGGUUCAAUUCCUUUGCAUUGCAAUGACCCAAGAAUCAUCUUUUAAGGUCUCGUCAAUGCAUUUAGGUUCGAUUUGAGAAAGGAAGGCAGCAUUAGCACAAAAAUUCUUGAAGGAAGAACGAGUUUGAACCCCUUUUGAUGUAUCUCCUAGAAUUAGCUCCUUUGGAUGAGCAUCCACAUACUUCCAUUCCUUAGGUAAGGAAGAAGAUGCAUCGAAGUUGCUAUUUUGAGGAGGGGGUUCAUUUAAAUUCAAAUUUUCAAAACCAAUAUCAUCAUCAAAAUCAUUUUUAUUUAACACGAAACUUUCACUAAAAACUACAUGAAUAUACUCUUCUAUAACUAAGGUUCUUUUGUUAAAAACACAAAAAGCCUUAGAAACGGAAGAGUAACAAAGAAAGAUGCCUUCAUCGGAUUUGGCAUCAAAUUUUCCUAAAACAACAUUUUCAUUCAAAAUAAAGCAUUUGCAACCGAAAACUUUAAAAUAAGAAACAUUUGGUUUUUUGUUAUUCCAUAAUUUCUAGGGAGUUUUUUAUAGAAAUGGUCUUAUUAGGACCCUAUUUAUGAUGUAGCAAGCCGUAUUCACGGCUUCGGCCUAAAAAUACUUGGGUAGACUAUGUUCAUUCAACAUAGUUCUUGCCAUUUUUUUGUAGGUUUCUAUUUUUUCUUUCAACUACUCUAUUUUGUUAAGGAUUUCUUGGAGUGGAGAAGUUGUGGUUAUAUCCAUUAACUUCACAAAAACUUUGGAAGUCACGGUUUUAAAAUUCGCCACCGUGAUCACUCCGAAUUGAUGAAAUCAUGAAGCUUUUUUCGUUUUGAGUGAGUUUACAAAAUUUAGAGAAACAUUUGAAACAAUCACUUUUGUGAGCCAAGAAAUAGGUCCAAGUGUAUCUAGUAUAGUCAUUUACAAUUACAAAAGUAUAAUUGCUUCCUCCUAUACUUGUCAUGUCAAUUGGUCUAAAUAAGUCCAAAUAGAUCAUUUAUAAUGGUCUAGUGGUGCUAAUUUAAUUUUUUGGUUUGAAACUAGUUUUUAUUUGUUUACCUAGUUGACACGCAUCAUAUACUUUGUCCUUAACAAACUUCAUAUUGGGAAUCCCUCGUACUAAUUCUCUAGAUGAGAUCUUAGAUAUUAGUUUCAUACUUGCAUGGCCUAAUCUCCUAUGCUUUGCCAAGCAUCAUCAUUUAAAGCGAAGAAGCACAUUUCAUUACUUAGUUUAUCAAGGUUGAUGGUGUAGAC
rnacentral:lncRNA from 1 species